GAUGAACGCUGGCGGCGUGCCUAAUACAUGCAAGUCGAGCGAAUGGAUUAAGAGCUUGCUCUUAUGAAGUUAGCGGCGGACGGGUGAGUAACACGUGGGUAACCUGCCCAUAAGACUGGGAUAACUCCGGGAAACCGGGGCUAAUACCGGAUAACAUUUUGAACCGCAUGGUUCGAAAUUGAAACGCGGCUUCGGCUGUCACUUAUGGAUGGACCCGGGUCGCAGUAGCUAGUUGGUGAGGUAACGGCUCACCAAGGCAACGAUGCGUAGCCGACCUGAGAGGGUGAUCGGCCACACUGGGACUGGGACACGGCCCAGACUCCUACGGGAGGCAGCAGUAGGGAAUCUUCCGCAAUGGACGAAGGUCUGACGGAGCAACGCCGCGUGAGUGAUGAAGGCUUUCGGGUCGUAAAACUCUGUUGUUAGGGAAGAACAAGUGCUAGUUGAAUAAGCUGGCACCUUGACGGUACCUAACCAGAAAGCCACGGCUAACUACGUGCCAGCAGCCGCCGUAA
rnacentral:rRNA from 1 species